rnacentral:piRNA from 1 species
GUGGCUAUUCCUGGUUGUCAA